GGGUCGUUAGCUCAGUUGGUAGAGCAGUUGACUUUUAAUCAAUUGGUCGC
rnacentral:tRNA from 1 species